UGGGGAAUAUUGGGCAAUGGGGGAAACCCUGACCCAGCGACGCCGCGUGGAGGAAGAAGUCCCUCGGGAUGUAAACUCCUGUUGUGAGGGAAGAAGCGAGUGACGGUACCACACGAGGAAGCCCCGGCAAACUACGUGCCAGCAGCCGCGGUAAUACGUAGGGGGCGAGCGUUGUCCGGAAUCACUGGGCGUAAAGGGCACGCAGGCGGACCGACAGGUCGUUUGUGAAAGGCGAGGGGUCAACCCUUGUUUGCGGACGAAACCGUCGGGCUGGAGUACGGGAGAAGGAAGUGGAAUUCCCGGUGUAGCGGUGAAAUGCGUAGAUAUAGGGGGGAACAACAGUGGAGAAGGCGGCUUCCUGGCCGGAUACUGACGCUCAAGUGCGAAAGC
rnacentral:rRNA from 1 species